GAGCCUGAAGAGAGAGAUUAAGGAUGGAUGGCACCCGCUACCAGACCCCAGAAAGCCGCUUCUCAGACUCCUCCGGGAUGCAGGUACAGCAAACAGCACGCAGGUCUGCAGGACUGACUGCGCUCUUCUGGGCUACUCAGGUCUCUUCGAAACCACUUCAGACGUGCGUCUGCUCUGGGCAUCGCAAACUCCCACUUCCAGAAUCUUUUUGGCAGGUCCUUCCUCCCUAAGGGACCUUGGGGAGCCAUGUGUGUUUUUGUUCGGGGAAGGGCAGCGGGAGUGGAGGGUACCAAGAGCAAGGGGCUCACAUUUGGAAUUAAUGACCCCCAGCUCUGCCGCUUCCGGGAUCUCACCAUCUUCUUAUCGUAAAACAGCUGUGGAGGGCCCUCGUGGCACACAUGGGAUCCAUUAGGUGCUGGCCCACCUGAUCUUUGGGAGACCAGUAGGCUGUGUCCUGGACUCUUCACGUUUGAGGAAAUGGCAGUUCCGAGAGGUUGUCAUCUCCCGGUGCCACACGGCGAGGAGGUGGGGGGGGGGGGCAGAAGCUGACCCUGGCAGGGAUCCCUGCGGACGGAGGACAGAGAUCCCGGCGGCACACAGCAUCCCGCCUGGAGGUUGGCACACCAUGGCGCCCCCUAGUGGCCACGUCUGGGGAGGAGUCCGUUUCUGCCUGGAUCUCCUGGGCAAGUUUGCUCAACCGACUUGGGUGGGGGACUGCAAACCUCAGCAAUACCUUCAGGGACUAGUCGGAAGGACCCCCAUCUUGCUGGGGGCGUCAGGGGAGGCUUCUCGAAGAAAGCGAUAUUGGUGCUGAGACUGCAGGAUUGAGGACCUUGAACUCCAGGACCCUCACUCUUCUCAGGGUAUUUGCAUAUUUUGUGUUCAGGGUAAUUGACAGUAUGCUAAUGACAAUGAAUGAUGGUUCCUCCUUAGCAAGUUAGUGAUGUAUGAUAGGGCCUGGUGUGCUAAUAAAGGGCGUCACAUGGAUUCUUUUAUUCCAUCUCCUGAAUGCAGCACUCGCUCAAGAGACAGAUGUGAAAAGGAAGGCACAGAGAUAGAAGAUGAAUCCAGGCUGUUUGGUUCCAGUGCCUGGACCUGGCCAAGUCUGAGAGUCGAUCCCCAAACAGGGCAGUUCAGCUCCUGAGGGCUGGAGCCAGGUUUCCUCCAAGAUGCCGACUUAGAAGCUGACAUCCACACCCCCCCCUCCUCCCGGUUCUGACUGGACCCCUCCAGUGACGGGGAGCUCACUCCUACUCUAUGAUCAUGCUGCUCUUUUCAGCCAGGCAGAUGUUUACCCCUUGGAUUCUUUCUCUCCUUUUUUUUUU